CUCUAAACCGAAAUCCACACAUCCCGGUGACGCUAAAACAGGCUCCGGCGCCGUGCUCACCACAAGCCUCAGCCCCCCACGAGCAGCGCCUGCUCCUCACUCCCACCUGGGUUCCUUGUCUGCAAAGGACGAACGAGGUGCCUGGGGCUUCUCCCAAGCUGGUGACAGUGAUGGAAAAAUAGGAGCCGGCAUGCCCCAAGAGGCACGGGGCGGGGGGCUCCUGCCCUGGACCCCAUUCACUGCAGGUGCCGCUCCUGGGCGUGUGACUCUGACCCCUGGAGCGCCGACACAGACACGUGAGCGCCGACAAGAAAAAGACUCAUGCUCAGGGAGGAGUGCAAAUGACUGCCUGUGAACUGCCAGGUGCCAGGGACGGCGUGAGUGCAGCCCCAAGGGCACCACAGGUACAGACGUUUCCAAGGCUGGAAAAAAGGAAAGAAACAAGGGCUAGGUGGAGAGCAUAGGGGGCCUCAAAGCCUGAACUACUUACUACCCAGCCCCUCCCAGAAGGCACGAGAGUCCCACUGUGAAGAGGAGAAGAGCCGCCACAGGGCCCAAGGUUUGGUGAAGUAAAGACUGUGGUCACUUCUCCACUGGGAACCCUGGUACACACGUAUCCUUCAGUAAACUCUCUCAGGAGUCAACGUUAAAAAGAAUUUCUUUUUAAACAGUUAUUUACACCAACGUACCCACAAAACACCAACCUGUCCAAGUCUUGUGAAAAACCUGUACACCACAGAAGGCUUCCCGUGUACUGAGUCGCCGACGCUGUCCCCUUCGGACAUUCUGCAGCUGAAAGAGAACACGGACGCUUGUAAAGAGAGCACGGUUCGCUGCAAACUGUCUGGGAAGAAACCUGUUGGCUCACAGGCCCUGGGGAGUGACGCAUGGAGGGCGAGGCUAACUGUUCCUACUGAUGUCCUCAUCCUCGUCUCCUGAAUCACACAAAGGGGAGCUUCCCCUACCAGCCAGAGGGAGCUCUAGCUAGCGGUCAGGUCCCGUGGACACCUCAUGAUCUCGGCCUUCCUCGGCCGUCCACACACCUGGCGCUGCUCAUGCUCCUCCCUCAGACUCUGUGGCCCCGGUACUGCUCCCCUCUCUGCCCGUCCUGGGUCUCUGGGCCCGCCAGGACCAGGGAGUGUCUCCUCUCGGGGCCAACACCUUUAUUUCUGAGAACUGCCCACGACCCUCCCCAUACCCGAAACUAAAAAGUUGCACAUGAUCACAAAAGGUCCCCUAGUCAUACAGAAAAGAAAAGUCCCCAAAUCAUGUCAGCCUCAGCCCAGGGGGCACGUCCCCGUGGGGUUCCCCGGCCUGCUGCCCCCUUUCCAAUGCAGCCUGCACACAGGCGCCAGGACCCUCUCUAGGCACAGUCCACGGGGCCAUACUGUGUGCAGAUCUGCCUGGGGGCUCCAGGAGGUGCCAUCUGUCUCUCCUCUCCACCCCAGGCUUGGGGCAGAAACUGCCUCAGAACAGACACUCAAAUAUUCGUCACGUUUCAGAACUUUUUCUAAACUUCUUAUUUAAGUGUAUGUGGUUUACUUAAUUAACCUAAUCCUUGACAUCCAACAGGAAAAUACACACAACUCUCGGGUAGUCAAUCUACCCCCGUCCCAGUUUCUUAUCUGUGAAAGGAUAACCUGCUGCCGAGCUUCUGUGAGGACCCAGGUGCGAGGAGCGUCACAUGCAGGCUCAGUUCCCCAAACGGCUGAGUGACGUGGGCGUCAUAACCCUACUUUCAGCCUCAAGCCAUCCAAGCCGUUGGCCCAAGGCUGCCCAGAGCCACACAGAGCGGCUGAGGUCCACUCCAGGGUGGUCGGGAGUGCAGAGGUGAGCAGGGGCACGAGCUUCUUCAGAGGAGUGUGGCUGAGUGAGUGGCACCUUCGUCUCGUCUCUCCGGCUUUCAAGGUGAGGCACCGGCAGUCCCCUCACUCCCAGCUGCCGAUGGGGGCAGCCCCUCCCCAAGGGCCGUGGGCCCCCGCGUGGGCUGGUGAGCAGGAGACUCCACUUCCACGCCAGGUCUCAGAACCACUUUUGCCAACGGCUGUGAGGCCUCCAGCAAACCCCUGAUCCAUUCUUAGCCUCAGUUUCAGGCAGCCAAACGCUGGACCCUCAGACCCUGAGGGCCACAGACACUCACUGCCUAGUGGCCCUGGGGGCAGGGUCAUCAUUCCGGUUUACACACCAGAAAACAGGCUGGCGGGGGCAGAGGGCUGUCCCCGGUGGAUGUAUGUGCUCACAGAUCGGGGGGAACCCAGAGCUUGGUCCCACACUGGCCCGAGCUCUGCACCUGCCUGCUCACAGCUGGGAACCAGGAGACAGAAGUCAGAGGCAGGUGCUGCAGUCCUGGCCUCACAUGUGUCACUUCCCAGUGACGACUUCACUGGUAAAAUCACCUCGAGGACUCACUGAGUUCAUGUGAAAACCAUCAGUGUGACCUCAGGCCACUUCCCGAGUCUAUCUGUGUGGGUGAACAAAGUGCCAGGAGCCGCCAAGGAGGAAACAAGGAAAUGCCCUCUGCCCCUGUGAGAGCUGCGUAAGCCGCAGGCACAUAAUGCGACGAAAAAGCUGAAUCCAGCGUCCUGAUUCGCAUGUGUUUCUUGGGAGUGGGUUUUUCCAUUCAGCUGGAAUUAAAACUGGUUAUCUCAGAUGGACCCCAUGGAGCCCGAAGCCAGCCAACGGCCACUUGGCUAAGGCCCGCCCACAGUUCCCUAUUUACCUUGUUCAGCCAAAGUGUUUGCCGUUAAACACUGCGACGUGAACCGAGACAGUAGGGCCACUGUCGGAAAGGAACACUCCCUGCCUGUCAAAGAGAGCACUCGCAGAGCCGACUGCUCACAGCUCUCUCCUUCUUUCCCGUUCCUAAACGCAUCAGGCAACUGCUGACUAUCUGACAGUCAACACAGACACUAAAACGUGGCUAUCUUGGUUGACUCACCUUCAGAAAUGACAUUACUAUUAACAGAAGGUGGUAGCAUGCUUAGGAACGUGAGCUUUGGAAUCAAACAGCCUCUUUCAGACUCCUGUUCUGCUGUCGCAGGCAGCAUGGCCUGGACGGGUGAUUUAACAACACCCCAGGCACCUUCCUCGAGGAGUCGGGCGAGGGCCCGUGGGCCACCCACGGACACACCUCGCGCAGAGAUGGCAGGUCGCCAGGGCACCUGCUGCUCCUCAGACACGUCCGACUCGUUCCCGGAUGACACCAGUUGUCCUGCCCACUGUCCUCUUCCCAGUCCUCAGUUUAAGGAACCCCCAGAAGGCCCUCUCAGACCGUCCAAACUGCCCACCCCCUUACGCAGCAUCAUCACCCUAGUUUUGUUUUCUAAAACAAUUAUUUUCUGAUCCUUUUCUUGGUUUACUUAUCUGCUUGACCAGAAUGCAAGCUCCUGGAGAAGGGAGACUUGUCUGUCUCCCUGCCAUCUACAAAUGCCAGUUACAUGGCAGG